rnacentral:rRNA from 1 species
CCAAUAGCGUAUAUUAAAGUUGUUGCAGUUAAAAAGCUCGUAGUUGAAUUUCGGGGUCAGCAGGUUGGUCGUGCCAAUGGUAUGCACUGGCCUUGCUGAUUCCUCCCUCUUGAUGAGCCGUAAUGCCAUUAAUUUGGUGUUGCGGGGAAUCAGGACUGUUACUUUGAAAAAAUUAGAGUGCUUAAAGCAGGCAAGCGCUUGAAUACAUUAGCAUGGAAUAAUGAAAUAGGACGUUCGAUCCUAUUUUGUUGGUUUCUAGGAUUGACGUAAUGAUUAAUAGGGAUAGUUGGGGGCAUUAGUAUUCAAUUGUCAGAGGUGAAAUUCUUGGAUUUAUUGAAGACUAACUACUGCGAAAGCAUUUGCCAAGGAUGUUUUCAUUAAUCAAGAACGAAAGUUAGGGGAUCGAAGACGAUCAGAUACCGUCGUAGUCUUAACCAUAAACUAUGCCGACUAGGGAUCGGAUGAUGUUAAUUUUUUAAUGACUCAUUCGGCGCCUUACG